rnacentral:rRNA from 1 species
UACGUAGGGGGCUAGCGUUGUCCGGAAUCAUUGGGCGUAAAGAGCGUGUAGGCGGUCCGGUAAGUCCGCUGUGAAAGUCGGGGGCUCAACCCUCGAAUGCCGGUGGAUACUGUCGGGCUAGAGUGCGGAAGAGGCGAGUGGAAUUCCUGGUGUAGCGGUGAAAUGCGCAGAUAUCAGGAAGAACACCUAUGGCGAAGGCAGCUCUCUGGGACGGUACUGACGCUGAGACGCGAAAGCGUGGGGAGCGAACAGG